AGGUCGAUAUUUUAACAGGAUCACGACGGCACACAAACUGGGGCACACGCAAAAAGCGGGAGAAUGAAAUCAAUUAGGCGAGCCAGCGCACAGGAUGGAAAAUAAUCUGGCCACGAGUCCGGCGAUGAUUAUUGUGAUGGAUAUUUCAUGUGACACCAGCGGCACCGGCGGAGUGACCUCAUUGCAUUGGCUGACAUUUCUGAUGCUGCUGCUUUGUUUCCGUUUCCGCUGGGCCCGUUUUGACAGCUGCGCACGGACCACCCACCACAUUCGCCCACUCGAAAUUCAAUUUUCCGCCGUUUUUAUGAUAAUUUAUAGGGCUUAUUAAUUUAUGUGCAAAACUCGCGGGACCGAAUGAAUUGAUUUGUGUCCGCGCAUAAAUGUGCCAUUUCGCAUUAGGCACAUUUACCCAAUUCAUUACACUAAAUUGUCACAGUAUUUUCUAAGAUAAGUAAUUUACAUGCAUUGUGAGCCGAUCGGAGAAACUGAACUGAAGCACCAAGAAAGAAUCGUGUGGCAAAGCCAGCGAGGUAACCUCUUACCAUAUGCCAAUUAUGUUGCCCCAAUAUUAUGCCAUUGGAUACACUUGAGUAGCUACCCCUGCAAAAAAUGCCUAUCUAAAGACAUAUUUGACUAUGUAUAAUAUGUGGGAUUGAUCAGGCGGAACGACACGAAAUUUAUAUGAUAGAUGCCAACGGUUGACAUUAUACAGGGAUUUUCAAGAAACAAAAUAUUGUCAAACAUCAUUUUAAAAUAUUUUAACUGUGUUAUAUUUAGUACUACAAAAUGAACUUUAAUUUUUCUAGUGCGUAUAUUUACAUCAUUUCGACACAUGAACUUUACAUUUGCCCGUGUUUUUUACAUUCUCGGUAUUUUACUCUCAAUCCCGUUCAUGUGCCUUUAACGCCAUCUGGCGUUUGUUGCCACAAUCAGUUCAGAAGUGGGAAAUUU
ensembl:ncRNA lncRNA:CR44980 long non-coding RNA:CR44980